rnacentral:rRNA from 1 species
CACAUGCAAGUCGAGCGGGCGUAGCAAUACGUCAGCGGCAGACGGGUGAGUAACGCGUGGGAACGUACCUUUUGGUUCGGAACAACACAGGGAAACUUGUGCUAAUACCGGAUAAGCCCUUACGGGGAAAGAUUUAUCGCCGAAAGAUCGGCCCGCGUCUGAUUAGCUAGUUGGUAGGGUAAUGGCCUACCAAGGCGACGAUCAGUAGCUGGUCUGAGAGGAUGAUCAGCCACAUUGGGACUGAGACACGGCCCAAACUCCUACGGGAGGCAGCAGUGGGGAAUAUUGGACAAUGGGGGCAACCCUGAUCCAGCCAUGCCGCGUGAGUGAUGAAGGCCCUAGGGUUGUAAAGCUCUUUUGUGCGGGAAGAUAAUGACGGUACCGCAAGAAUAAGCCCCGGCUAACUUCGUGCCAGCAGCCGCGGUAAUACGAAGGGGGCUAGCGUUGCUCGGAAUCACUGGGCGUAAAGGGUGCGUAGGCGGGUCUUUAAGUCAGGGGUGAAAUCCUGGAGCUCAACUCCAGAACUGCCUUUGAUACUGAAGAUCUUGAGUUCGGGAGAGGUGAGUGGAACUGCGAGUGUAGAGGUGAAAUUCGUAGAUAUUCGCAAGAACACCAGUGGCGAAGGCGGCUCACUGGCCCGAUACUGACGCU